rnacentral:rRNA from 1 species
GAAUAUUGGACAAUGGGCGAAAGCCUGAUCCAGCCAUGCCGCGUGUGUGAAGAAGGUCUUCGGAUUGUAAAGCACUUUAAGUUGGGAGGAAGGGCAGUAAGCGAAUACCUUGCUGUUUUGACGUUACCUACAGAAUAAGCACCGGCUAACUCUGUGCCAGCAGCCGCGGUAAUACCGAGGGUGCAAGCGUUAAGAGGAAUUACUGGGCGGAAAGGGGGGGUAGGUGGUGCGUUAAGUUGGAUGUGAAAUCCCCGGGCUCAACCUGGGAACUGCAUCCAAAACUGGCGAGCUAGAGUAGGGCAGAGGGUGGUGGAAUUUCCUGUGUAGCGGUGAAAUGCGUAGAUAUAGGGAGGAACACCAGUGGCGAAGGCGACCACCUGGGCUCAUACUGACACUGAGGUGCGAAAGCGUGGGGAGCAAACAG